rnacentral:rRNA from 1 species
AGCGGAGGAAAAGAAACUAACAAGGAUUCCCUUAGUAACUGCGAGUGAAGAGGGAAAAGCUCAAAUUUAAAAUCUGGUAGUUAUUAACUACUUGAGUUGUAAUCUAGAGAAGCAUUAUCCGUGCUGGACCAUGUAUAAGUCUCCUGGAAUGGGGCAUCAUAGAGGGUGAGAAUCCCGUCUCUGACAAUGGACUUCCAGUGCUUUGUGAUGUGCUCUCAACGAGUCGAGUUGUUUGGGAAUGCAGCUCUAAAUGGGUGGUAAAUUCCAUCUAAAGCUAAAUAUUGGCGAGAGACCGAUAGCGAACAAGUACCGUGAGGGAAAGAUGAAAAGAACUUUGAAAAGAGAGUUAAACAGUACGUGAAAUUGUUGAAAGGGAAACGCUUGAAGUCAGUCUUAUUAAUUAGAAAUCAAUCUUGCUUUUGCUUGAUGUAUUUUCUAAUUGAUGGGUCAGCAUCAAUUUUAAUCAAUAGAAAAAGACUUGGGAAAUGUGGCAUCUCUGGAUGUGUUAUAGUCCUUUGUUGUAUAUAUUGAUUGAGAUUGAGGAAAUCAGCAUGCCGAAAGGCCGGGUUUUAACCACGUUCAUGCUUAGGAUGCUGGCAUAAUGGCUUUAAUCGACCCGUCUUGA